rnacentral:ncRNA from 2 species
GAUUUAUAAAGACGAAGGGAGAGGAAGUCUCGAUGAUCUUCAGCAACUUUUCAGCUUGAAAUAAGUGCUAAACUUUUUUCUAAAUUUUUUAGAAAUAUAAAUU